UUUCCGUAGGUGAACCUGCGGAAGGAUCAUUAAUGAGUUGUCAUGGGGUUCGAUGCUGGCAGCCAAUUUCUGGGUGCAUGUGCUUGCCCUAACAAUCAUCUUCCAAACACCUGUGCACAUUUUUGAGGGAGUCUUGAGUUGGUUGCCGCUCUUGGGUGAUUUUCUCACAUUCCCUUAAAUCAUUAUACGCUAUUAACAAUGUUGAACGUGCUCUGUGCCGCAAGGCUAUUAAUAUAAUACAACUUUUAACAACGGAUCUCUUGGCUCUC
rnacentral:misc_RNA from 1 species